GCUGGAGUCACAUCAGGAGAAGCGCAUCUGACGCUCUGCCCCACGGCCUCGACGCCGAGCCUCGGGGAGCGCGCCAGGGCAGGGAGCGUCUCGUUCUCACCCCCAGGCACCCCUUGGAGUCUUUAUCGCCGGGCUCAGGGACCACAGCCGGGAAAAUCCUACGGUGACAUCACGGACGGGGAGCAAGGUCACGACGCGACCGAGGCCACUCUCCAAGGGGACCAGCAGUGGCCAGCGCUGCAGACCAAGGGCCGCUCCUGCGCCUUGUGCUCGGCACAGCCAGCUCCUGAGCCACCGUCCCCCGCCUGUGGAGCCCGGGAGGCAAGGGUCAGCUUCCCUGAACGGCAGCCUCGCCCCCAUCAUGGCCGGCACAACCUAAACCGAGUAACGAUGAUGAGCCCGCGGGCAGCCCUGCCUGCAGCCCUGGCCCGCUCUCUCCCCGGCACUGUACAGAAAUAUGAGACUGGACCCAGCUCUGAAGACAGCUGGCCUGGGAUCUUUUCGAAGCUUCGGGCUGUGAACGUGGCGAGCUGCCCGGGGAGCUGGGGGCACAGGCCACACCCCAGGGUUCCGAGCGUUUUGUUCCCGCGGGUUCAAGGAGCAGCCGGACCCGUGUGCACCCAGAGCCUCGCCGGGCGCGGUCACCGCUGGAUGUGGGCACGAGAGUCACAUGAAGGACUCAACAGCCUGAAUCACACAGUGAGGACUCCGGGGUUUGAAUGAGAGUAUUCUGGACAGCGGUGAUGGACGCAACAGUGACGGGCCCUGAGUACGUGCCUCCUCCGCUGGGCGCCCACCUGUCGCCUGUCCUCACGGAGCCCUUCCGACCACCUAGAUCCUGUCUCACUGGGUGAGAGGCACCUGUGAACCUGCUGCCCAGGUCGGGGGUCAGGUGGCCACACCAGACUCUGUGUUCCCCGGAACCCCUACUCGAGGACAGCUUCAUGGGGGCAUCACCAGCGGUGACUGGAGCCCCAGGACUGCUGUGCUGGGUGCAGAGGAUUCAAGGUCCUGACUGUGCUGGUUGUGGGGGAGGUCUCUGUCACAGGCGGAGCGUUUUAGGGCUGGUCGUUCACCCUGUCUCUUCCUCGUGGGGAUCGGGGCAGGGGGGCAGGGGCGGUUGGGCCCCAAGCUGGGAACGGGGCCCCGCAGAGCGUCUGCCACCAGGCAAACGGAGCCCUUGGUGUCAGGGGGCCAGAACUCCAGGUCAGGACCCUGCCAGGCUGUGGCUGCACGGGAUGGAGCCGAGUCAUCAGGGGCCCGCAGCCCCGCGUCCGGGGUGAGGGUGGAGGGAGAGGAGCCACACGUGGAGGAGGCAGG
rnacentral:lncRNA from 1 species